GUGUGUUCCAGGUAAAUCCGGUUCACUUUAACACUGAGGCGUGACGACGAGGCACUACGGUGCUGAAGCAACAAAUGCCCUGCUUCCAGGAAAAGCCUCUAAGCAUCAGGUAACAUCAAAUCGUACCCCAAACCGACACAGGUGGUCAGGUAGAGAAUACCAAGGCGCUUGAGAGAACUCGGGUGAAGGAACUAGGCAAAAUGGUGCCGUAACUUCGGGAGAAGGCACGCUGACACGUAGGUGAAGUGAUUUACUCAUGGAGCUGAAGUCAGUCGAAGAUACCAGCUGGCUGCAACUGUUUAUUAAAAACACAGCACUGUGCAAACACGAAAGUGGACGUAUACGGUGUGACGCCUGCCCGGUGCCGGAAGGUUAAUUGAUGGGGUCAGCGCAAGCGAAGCUCCUGAUCGAAGCCCCGGUAAACGGCGGCCGUAACUAUAACGGUCCUAAGGUAGCGAAAUUCCUUGUCGGGUAAGUUCCGACCUGCACGAAUGGCGUAAUGAUGGCCAGGCUGUCUCCACCCGAGACUCAGUGAAAUUGAACUCGCUGUGAAGAUGCAGUGUACCCGCGGCAAGACGGAAAGACCCCGUGAACCUUUACUAUAGCUUGACACUGAACAUUGAGCCUUGAUGUGUAGGAUAGGUGGGAGGCUUUGAAGUGUGGACGCCAGUCUGCAUGGAGCCGGCCUUGAAAUACCACCCUUUAAUGUUUGAUGUUCUAACGUGGACCCGUAAUCCGGGUUGCGGACAGUGUCUGGUGGGUAGUUUGACUGGGGCGGUCUCCUCCUAAAGAGUAACGGAGGAGCACGAAGGUUGGCUAAUCCUGGUCGGACAUCAGGAGGUUAGUGCAAUGGCAUAAGCCAGCUUGACUGCGAGCGUGACGGCGCGAGCAGGUGCGAAAGCAGGUCAUAGUGAUCCGGUGGUUCUGAAUGGAAGGGCCAUCGCUCAACGGAUAAAAGGUACUCCGGGGAUAACAGGCUGAUACCGCCCAAGAGUUCAUAUCGACGGCGGUGUUUGGCACCUCGAUGUCGGCUCAUCACAUCCUGGGGCUGAAGUAGGUCCCAAGGGUAUGGCUGUUCGCCAUUUAAAGUGGUACGCGAGCUGGGUUUAGAACGUCGUGAGACAGUUCGGUCCCUAUCUGCCGUGGGCGCUGGAGAACUGAGGGGGGCUGCUCCUAGUACGAGAGGACCGGAGUGGACGCAUCACUGGUGUUCGGGUUGUCAUGCCAAUGGCACUGCCCGGUAGCUAAAUGCGGAAGAGAUAAGUGCUGAAAGCAUCUAAGCACGAAACUUGCCCCGA
rnacentral:rRNA from 1 species